GACGAACGCUGGCGGCGUGCUUAACACAUGCAAGUCGAACGGAAAGGCCCUGCUUUUGCGGGGUGCUCGAGUGGCGAACGGGUGAGUAACACGUGAGUAACAUGCCCUUGACUUUGGGAUAACUUCAGGAAACUGGGGCUAAUACCGCAUAGGAGCUCCUGCUGCAUGGUGGGGGUUGGAAAGUUUCGGCGGUUGGGGAUGGAUUGGAGGCUUAUCCGCUUGUUGGUGGGGUAGUGGCUUACCAAGGCUUUGACGGGUAGCCGGCCUGAGAGGGUGACCGGGCUCAUGGGGACUGAGAUACGGCCCAGACUCCUACGGGAGGCAGCGGUGGGGAAUAUUGCGCAAUGGGCGGAAGCCUGAGGCAGCAACGCCGGGAGCGGGAUGACGGCCUUCGGGUUGUAAACCGCUUUCGCCUGUGACGAGGCGUGAGUGACGGUAAUGGGUAAAGAAGCACCGGCUAACUACGUG
rnacentral:rRNA from 1 species